CCUAGCAACACUGAUGCCAACUCACCAUGGCAGCAGGACACACACCUCUCCUGCAGGACUGCUCGCCUGGCCCAUGAUGACACCUAGAGGUGCCCUGGGCCAGCCUGAAGGUUGCUGGCCGGGGCCUCUGCGCCAACCUUGCACCUGGGAGAUGCUCUUCACCGCCUCGCCCCGCUCCCUGGCCUACCUGGGAGGGCAGGAGAGGCCUUCAGACCCACGCCCCGCUGUCAGGCCUGCAGGAUUCAGCUAGCUGAGGUGUGCACAGUCAUGGCCAGUUACAUAGGGCUGGGGAUCGCCCCAGGAUUCUGCUCAUGACAGGAAGCUCCUGAUCAACUGAGCUGCAUACAUCCCUGUUCCUUUCACAACUGCAAGAGCCACUUCUGCUUCACCACAGUGGCGCCCUCUGUCGUCUGAAGACAGUCCUGCCAGCCAAAAGCCCGGAACCUCUGCAAAUUUAACCUGUCCCCACACCUCAGCCCCUAGACUCCCCAGGGGCCGUUCUUUGUCACCUCAUCCUUCAUCCACUCACCUGUUCAUCUCCACAUUUAAGUACUCACUGAGACUCUUCAGGAGAGCACCUGACGGUCUCUACUGUAUGCACGAGUAAACUGGGAAUGGAGAAGUGGAA